AACGCGAAGAACCUUACCUGGGCUCGAAAUGCUGUGGACCAGCUGGUGAAAGCCGGCCUUCCCGCAAGGGACCGCAGUAUAGGUGCUGCAUGGCUGUCGUCAGCUCGUGUCGUGAGAUGUUGGGUUAAGUCCCGCAACGAGCGCAACCCUUGUCCUGUGUUGCCAUACCGAAAGGUGGAACUCGCAGGAGACCGCCAGGGAUAACCUGGAGGAAGGUGGGGAUGACGUCAAGUCCUCAUGGCCUUUAUGUCCAGGGCUACACACGUGCUACAAUGGACGGUACAAAGGGCUGCCAACCCGCAAGGGGGAGCCAAUCCCAAAAAACCGUUCUCAGUUCGGAUUGCAGGCUGCAACUCGCCUGCAUGAAGCUGGAAUCGCUAGUAAUGGCGGAUCAGAACGCCGCCGUGAAUACGUUCCCGGGCCUUGUA
rnacentral:rRNA from 1 species